UUUCCGUAGGUGAACCUGCGGAAGGAUCAUUCAUAAUAAGUGUUUUACUGCACUUUUUAAAAAUCAGUAUUCACCUUGUGCAAUGUUAGAUCUCGUCAAUCUUGGCGAGAUUUUUAUACAUCAACUCAUUCUUUAACUAAUUUGUCUGAAAAAUAUUAUGAAUACUUAAUUCAAAAUACAACUUUCAACAACGGAUCUCUUGGCUCUC
rnacentral:misc_RNA from 1 species